rnacentral:rRNA from 1 species
GGAGUCUGGGCCGUGUCUCAGUCCCAAUGUGGCCGAUCACUCUCUCAAGUCGGCUACUGAUCGUUGCUUUGGUAGGCCGUUACCCUGCCAACUGCUAAUCAGACGCGGGCCCAUCCUAUACCACCGGAGUUUUUCACACUGUACCAUGCGGUACCGUGCGCUUAUGCGGUAUUGUCAGCCGUUUCCAGCUGUUAUCCCCCUGUAUGGGGCAGGUUGCCCACGCGUUACUCACCCGUCCGCCACUCGGUUAAGCUUCGUCACCCCGAAGGGAUCGUGAAAAAUAACCUCGUUCGACUUGCAUGUGUUAAGCACGCCGCCAGCGUUCAUC